rnacentral:rRNA from 1 species
UUUGACAUAUACGUGGUACUGACCAGAAAUGGAAGGGACCCUUCGGGGAGCGUAUACAGGUGCUGCAUGGCUGUCGUCAGCUCGUGCCGUGAGGUGUCAGGUUAAGUCCUGUAACGAGCGCAACCCACAUUGUUAGUUAUAUGUGUCUAACGAGACUGCCCGUGAUAAGCGGGAGGAAGGUGUGGAUGACGUCAAGUCAGCAUGGCCUUUAUAUCCGGGGCUACACACACGCUACAAUGGACGGUACAAUGGGCAGCGAAGCCGCGAGGUGAAGCCAAUCCCCCAAAGCCGUUCUCAGUUCGGAUUGCAGGCUGCAACUCGCCUGCAUGAAGUCGGAGUUGCUAGUAACCGUGCGUCAGCACAGCGCGGUGAAUACGUUCCCGGGGAAUUGUACACACCGCCCGUCUGAUGGGCGCGA